rnacentral:lncRNA from 1 species
GUAUUCUUGCCAGUUAUUUUCUCAUAUCCACUAGACUAACCCUUUUUACCGAGCUAUAUUUAUUUGCCAUCUGUUUCUCGCAAAUAUUAAAAACAUUUUUUAUAGAUUUUUUUUUCACAAGAGGGGUCCACCAGUGAUGACUGAAGGCUAGCUGUGCAUCUUGGGAAAUGUAGUUUGCAAACAUCUGUGGUACCAAGAUUAGCCAUCAGUAGCACUCCACUCAUAUAAGUAACAGGCCAUGAUAUCAUGUAAGCUUUUCAACAGAAAUAAAAAAAAAAUUAAUAGAAUAGGAACGCUGUCUACAUGUAUAUAUUUAAAGCAAACUGUCAUGUCUGGUUUCAUCACAAACCAAAAGCUAUGGCUUGUGAUUAUUUAUUAUUUUUAUAAAUUUUACAUUCACAUUCUAUUCCUGGCUGUCCUGGCACAAAAAGGGCACACCAUGCAAAUAAUUUAAACACCAGUACCACGUGCCAUAUGCACAGGUGCACGUCCGCACACGGCACAAUGGAAUGGCCGAGCAUGCGUGUAGUCAAAUGGUCACAGAGUGAUGGCGUUCCCCUACGUGGAAGUGCUGCAGAGCUGUGCGCUUGUUGAUGUUUUUUUGUUCAUCAGAGAUGUCCUCAAUCAUGCGCAGAGAAGUACCUGAAAAUAGAAGCAGGCCGGCACAAAUUCCGAUCCCCGGCAGAUUUAUUAGAAUAUAAAGAGCUGGACAAAGGCUCGUAGCAGCCAAAAUGUUGCACUUUAUUUUUCAAUAAAUCUGCCUGGUAUUGUAUCUAAUUUGUGUCUUGGAAUGGAGCCGAUCUCGAGUUUAUAUCUUUUGAAAUGCAUUGAGAUUCCUGUGCAAUGUCAAGACAAUAUAUAGUUAAUGAAGAUUAUUUGGUUUUGAAAAAGAAAUGAAAUAUUACAGAUCUACUUUAAAACACUGGCACUACUGAGAUUUAUGCACAACCCACUAAGUAACAAUUUGCUAAGGGUUAUGCUUUUAUUUAAAAAAAAAAAAAGCAAUUUUUUAAAAAGUAUUUUUUAUUUACAUGGCAUGCUGUUUAACUCACACACUCCUGCAGUGCCGUGCUCAUGCAUGCAUACGUGUAAACGGCAUGUUUAAGGAAUUCCCAGAGUGCUCAGGUGUUUGUACGUCAUUUCUGUGUAUAUCCUUGAGUCUUCCCUGGAGCAUCAUGGGAAACCGUGUUACCUGGAACGCAGAAGUGUCACGAACUAUGUUUUUUUUACUCUGCAGCACUAACCACCACAGUGAAAUGUUUCUGUAGCGUUUAUUAGGGUGAGGGAACAAAGAACUGUCUCUCUCAGAGAAACAGCAGUUUAAAACCUAUACAGAGAAUCGGCCAGCACUCUUACAAUUACAGCAUUAUCAUUAUUAUUAUUGCCAUUUAGAUAGCGCCAGCUUAUUCCGCAAUAUUACAAAGGAGGAAAUUUAACAGUAAAUAAACAAUUACAAAAUGUUACAAGAACAAUGAUGAGGACUCUGCUCAGAAGAGCUUACAAUCUAGCAGAGGUGGGGUAUAAAAACAUAAUCGGAAUGGCAGCGUGGGAAAGUAUCAGAAUUGUAAGGUGAGAGUGGAGUGUGGCUCUUUAAGAGCGAGCCAGAGACAGUUUUGUGAAAUUCAUUAUCAAAUAUAAUUGAGUAUUUACUAUCCUGUGGAUGCAAUUUCACCCCAGUCCUCUAGUUAAGCAAUAGUUAAAAUAACACUCCAAGCACUAUCACCACUACCCUCAGCCAAUGAGCCGGCUCUGCACUGUAGGGCUUAGCUCAGGGGAGCUAGUGGAAGCUCCGCGGGUACCUGGCAGACCCCUAGUAAGUUGUUAAGCUGUUUUGACUAAUGCCUGGAAAGACCACUGAAACCAUAACCACUACAGCACGCUGCAGUGGUUAUAGUGUUCAUUUAUCUGUUGCUGAACUGGGGUACCAGGGUUGUAUUGCUCCCACAGGAUAGUGAAUACUGUAGCUGUGUUAGUGCUGACUGCGUACUGGUUUUUCAUAGAGGAAUACACAGCUUACAAUUCCUAAUGCUUUUUAAAUACAUUUUCUUCCGUUAAAGAAGCAAAGGUUAUAUUUUUAUGUGGUUCUUUGAGAAGACAUAUGGACACUUUAUGUUUUGUGUAAAAAGGGUUUUUCAGUGGCAAAUUCACUUUAAGUAAGAUUGCUGCUUAUAUUUUAUUCCAUUGGGUCAGUUUCUGUUCAUUUGUAGAGAAGUCUUUGAAUAGUAACGUGUUAUGGAUAUGAAAGGUGCAUCAGGUCACGGCACACAAAAUGACUGUGGACGUGGAAUUUUCUAAAUCUAUUUAUAACUGUAAUAUAUGGGUUAUCUCUGGUUGAUAACUACAUUACAUUAUGCAAUGUUUUUAGGUUUUGUAAUCUGAGCAGAGCAACAUCAAUGAAUAUCUGUUAUUAUAUUGGUGAUGUGUGUAAUACGGUGAUUAUUCUGUGGCUGAUAUUGGUAUUCAGCAGGGAUAUUAUUAUGGGGAUAUGGAACCCAGUCAUAACAGCUCCCUCUCAUGCGCACACACACAAAACCCAAGUGAUGCCAUUGCCUGUUGUCUAUUAUGGAAAACUGGUUCUAAAUCAGAAAAUUACAAAGGCUCAUGAUAAGGUUGAAUACUAGCACAUAAUUCUGCCCUGUAACGGCUAGUUCUUUAAGCCAGUUGUUACUGAUCAUACACCUUUUUGGGGAGUUGACAUACCAGAAGUUUACUAUUGUCAUUUUUUUUUAAAAUGGACCCUUAGCUUUCUCAAAUUGUGGUUUAUAAUACCUCACACACUCAUACUAGUAACUGGUCUAGAUUUUAAAAUAACCAACUUAUGUCGAUCAGGAAUCUGUUUUAUCUGUGUGUCAGAGGGCGCGGCCAUAUUAACUGUCACAUGAUUUGCAUUUUAGUCCCUACCCUAUAACAUUUGCCCCUCCAUAUUGGUGGAGGCCAAUUCUAGCUUCCUUGGGAAUAGGAGAAAGGUGAAUGGGCAGGUAAGGAUUGUGUUUUACAGGCUAUGACCAAAAAUAUAUACACUAAACAUUCUAUAUGUCAUUUCAAUAAAUAUAUUAUAUUUUACUAAACACUGGUUCUGAAAGGUCCACUUAAAUAUUAACAUUCAAUUACGGUAAGCCUAUAUGUGGCUAUAUUGUAAUAUAGCCGAUAUAGUGGCGCUACAUAUCUCACUAAUUUGGUCAGCCUACAACGAUUUGAUAUUCAUAUACGAUCCAAUUACACCAAUUUUUAGAAACUUUAUAUUGGGUUCCUGCAGUCCCACUUCCUUGGAAAAUCUAAAAAAAAAGAAAAAGAGAGAAAUAAUUGUUAAAAUUGCUGUCCAUCCAUCUGUGCAACUGGCUGAGAUCCCAUAGGACAGGUUAUAGUCCCUUGUGUCCCACUAUAGUCUUUCAAAAAUUUGGGAGGUAUGGGAACCAGAGUGGCCACAAGCCAGUUGGUGGACUGCACCUUUCUGAUCUCUCUACUGUUGUUUAAGGUCUUCACAGGUUAUCUUUUAUUGGAGGUUAACUUGUCAGAAGACCAAAAUUUCAUGUAGGUCACGACAGCAAGGAAAGUGAGAAUUACCCAGCAUUAAUGAAUGUAUUCGAGAACUCCACCAUCUAUGCAAGAAAAUGUGUAGCUUAAAUCAGGACCAAAAAGUUAAUUGUGACAUUUCUAUCAUAGAGAGUGAAUUCUCUGGCCCCUUUUUAAAGAAACCAAUACAAGCCUUUCUCAAAUGUUUAUCAAAUAGCUUUUUCAUCACCUACAGUUAGUUCAACGGCUCCUCUUUUAGGAGAUCCUGGACUGCAAAUGUGGUAAGUCCUGGAGAACUUCUGGGUUUGGACAACUAACUAGUCUACCACCAGAUUCUCCAAUGCUUACGUAAAAGUAUUUAACAAAUUGAGUUUAUUGAGGAGGAUUACACAUGUUUGACCUACAGAUGUUCUCAGAUGUUGCUAGAUAUUCUAUAAUUUGAUGCCUUAAUCUGAUGUUUGAUUAUCUAUCAACGAAAACCUGAAAGUCUAGAAUUCAGAGUCUCGGUAAAUGUAUGCAAGUAAAAUAAACAAACACCAAAAUGGAAAAUACCAUUUCAUUGCAAUAUACAUAUAUAUUAAAACAUGGUAUUACUUAACAAACACUCAUUUUGUAACUUGGCUUCCCAAUGUUUUCAUUCUUGGUUUUUAAAUAAUUUAUUUCUGUUUAUAUAAUUUUCUAUGACCAAUAGUUUGUUGACAUAUUUUUUUUGUUUCUGAAAACCUCUAAAAUGGAAACUAAACAAUAAAAAAAAUUGUUUGUUUUUUUUAAAUCUCGUCUUCAGUUUUACUUCUUUAGUAACUUAUUUCUUUUUAGUAUGUUUCCACCUACUUAUGUUACUAUCAC